ACUGGCAGCCAUAUCACCCUGUAGCCCAAGAGUGGUUACCCACUGAAGCCAAGCAGGGCUGAGACUGGUCUGGAUGGUCCUCCUGGGAAAACUAGGUUGCUGCUGGAA
rnacentral:rRNA from 1 species